GCACCCGUAGCUCAAUUGGAUAGAGCACCGGUCUUCGGAACCGGGGGUUGGGGGUUCGAAUCCCUCCGGGUGUA
rnacentral:tRNA from 2 species